rnacentral:rRNA from 1 species
GCCUACGGGGGGCAGCAGUGAGGAAUAUUGGUCAAUGGGCGGGAGCCUGAACCAGCCAAGCCGCGUGAGGGAAGAAGGUACAGCGUAUCGUAAACCUCUUUUGUCAGGGAACAAAGGCGGGGACUAGUCCCCGGAUGAGGGUACCUGAAGAAAAAGCAUCGGCUAACUCCGUGCCAGCAGCCGCGGUAAUACGGAGGAUGCGAGCGUUAUCCGGAUUUAUUGGGUUUAAAGGGUGCGUAGGCGGGACCUUAAGUCAGCGGUUAAAUUGCGGUGCUCAACGCCGUAGAGCCGUUGGAACCUGGGUU